UCGGCAUCGAAACCGCUACUUAUAAUAAUGAUCAUAAUUGGAAAUGGGCGGUGCGACUUUCUCGGCGUCUCUCCGCCGUCCAGCAAAAAAGACUAACUUCAACUUGCACACACUGCUCUGUGUGUGUGUGUGUGUGUUCGUUCGAGCGGUGUGGAGAAGAAACACUGUGACUAUGAUCGCUCGGGAGAGGAGAGGAGGAUAAAACGGCACGGAAGGAACCUCUUCAUUCAUCUUGAAGGCGUUUGCUGCAGACAUGAUCAUUCGGCUUGGAAGACUGACGCCGGGAUACUUCCGACUCCUCCAGAGGCAGGUGGCAGGGGAAGUGCAGACCCAGCCGAAGGACCGCGCGGUCAACCAGAUUGCCAUGAUGCUGGCCAUCAUGGGCCUUAGCCUGUCCUACUACAGCGCUCGGCAGAUGACGGAGAAGAUGUGAUGCCAUGUGACAGAGUGAGACCUUCGUCGGGCGGCACGUGCCUCACUGUCCGCUGGCCACCCCAUCCCCCUCGUUCCACAUCACCAAGCAAAUUGGUGCAGAGCAACUUGGACAGCUCGAAAACCGGAUGGGAGCAGCUGAGCUACACGCCCAUUGGUGGAUUUGUGAUGUUAUAUAAAUUGACCCAGAUGCAGGUCAUGAAUACCAGGCCUUGUUGUUGGCAUUCUUGUGCUCUGUAAAACAUUAUGUUGCUUCCAUGUUUAAGAUGGAAGAGAAGAAAAUAAUGCUAAUCCCAGUUUAAUUUGAAGUUUUGGGCAGUAUUUCGGAUUUCCUAACUAUAAAGUUUUAGUCUUGACUAACUUAGUUCUUUAAACUAUGACCAGUUUAAGGCCUCUGUGGAAAACUAAUUACUUAGUAACUGCACUCCAUAUUUUUCUUAUAAAAGUCACAAGGCCCAAUGUCCCAAAGCAGGAGAGCACUGGCAUUUUAUAUCAAAUAAUAUGGAGAUUAAAUUUUGCAAGUCUGUGUGCCUGUUUCCCUUUUUCAGAAAGGGAAAUUCUAUAUGAGAUUCAGAUUAUUUUAACCCUUUCUGUUGGCAGGGUGUGUUGGGUUUGUACUGUGAAUACUGUCUCUUGAGGAGGUGAUGUAUUACUCCUUUGCCAUAUCUGCUGGGUCACAAACUUGUGGUUGAAUUUCUUGUCUCCCAAUCUGUGUCGCCUGUGAGGCAUUUGUAGUCCACUGGAUGGGCCGUAUUCUCUGAGCACAGCAAAUAUGGAUUUAAUUAAUUCCUUUUCCAGGUACAUAGU